rnacentral:rRNA from 1 species
AUUGAACGCUGGCGGCAUGCCUAACACAUGCAAGUCGAACGGUAACAGGCCUUCGGGUGCUGACGAGCGGUGAACGGGGGAGUAAUGCAUCGGAACGUACCCCGUGGCGGGGGAAAACGCAGCGAAAGCUGAGCUAAUACCGCAUGUGAGCUGAGGUUGAAAGCGGGGGAGCGAGCAGGAAAGUUUGGCCUCGCGCCUCUGGAGCGGCCGAUGUCGGAUUAGCUAGUUGGUGGGGUAAAGGCAUACCAAGGCAACGAUCCGUAGCUGGUCUGAGAGGACGACCAGCCACACUGGGACUGAGACACGGCCCAGACUCCUACGGGAGGCAGCAGUGGGGAAUUUUGCGCAAUGGGCGCAAGCCUGAUCCAGCAAUGCCGCGUGAGGGAAGAAGGCCUUCGGGUUGUAAACCGCUUUUGGCAGGAACGAAAAAGUGUCCGCUAAACCCGGGCGCUAAUGACGGUACCUGCAGAGUAAGCCCCGGCUAACUACGUG